rnacentral:rRNA from 1 species
UUCACGGAGAGUUUGAUCCUGGCUCAGGACGAACGCUGGCGGCGUGCUUAACACAUGCAAGUCGAACGAUGAACCGCUUUCGGGCGGGGAUUAGUGGCGAACGGGUGAGUAACACGUGGGCAAUCUGCCCUGCACUCUGGGACAAGCCCUGGAAACGGGGUCUAAUACCGGAUAUGACCGUCUGCCGCAUGGUGGAUGGUGUAAAGCUCCGGCGGUGCAGGAUGAGCCCGCGGCCUAUCAGCUUGUUGGUGAGGUAGUGGCUCACCAAGGCGACGACGGGUAGCCGGCCUGAGAGGGCGACCGGCCACACUGGGACUGAGACACGGCCCAGACUCCUACGGGAGGCAGCAGUGGGGAAUAUUGCACAAUGGGCGAAAGCCUGAUGCAGCGACGCCGCGUGAGGGAUGACGGCCUUCGGGUUGUAAACCUCUUUCAGCAGGGAAGAAGCGAAAGUGACGGUACCUGCAGAAGAAGCGCCGGCUAACUACGUGCCAGCAGCCGCGGUAAYACGUAGGGCGCAAGCGUUGUCCGGAAUUAUUGGGCGUAAAGAGCUCGUAGGCGGCUUGUCACGUCGGUUGUGAAAGCCCGGGGCUUAACCCCGGGUCUGCAGUCGAUACGGGCAGGCUAGAGUUCGGUAGGGGAGAUCGGAAUUCCUGGUGUAGCGGUGAAAUGCGCAGAUAYCAGGAGGAACACCGGUGGCGAAGGCGGAUCUCUGGGCCGAUAC